CAGAUUUGCUCAUUAAGAUGGACCAAGGCAGCAUCCUUUUCCGGGAACCCUUUCUAAUACCUUGAGCUGAAAAACGCUUUAUUCUCUGAGUUUUUAUGCAUCCUCCUUUCUUCGGAAUGCCUGCCUCUUAACGUGGUUCUCACACACACAUGCCAAGGAGUCUGCCCUCUGGUGGACAUAAGAGAAACUACAGUCAGGAGACCAGCAGUCCCACAAGCCCACUUCGCAGAUCGCAGGGCAUUUACUAUUCCAGCAGGACACCAAGAGUUAAGUGGCGAACUGCCCUGUGAAGUAUGUAUUAAUCCCUCAAAGAUGCGGGAAAUGGAAACCAGACAAUUCUUCACACCAGUCUGAAUUCAGCCGUAUUUUACACCAGUGAGGGAGUAAAAAGGCAAAAUAAGGAGAGAGUCCUCCUGAGGCACAGCAGGUUAAGGAUCCAGUGUUGUCACUGCAGCAGGUCGCGGCUACAGCACAGGUUCAAUUCCUGGUCCAGAAAUGUCUACAUGCUGCGGGAUGCAGCAAAGAAAAAACAGAAAGAAAAAAGAAUAAAAAUUACAAAACCUCAGGAAAAUAGGAGGAAACAAUACUGAGCAAGAUGUCAACAAAUGUAUUCAACACAAAGAGAGUGGUUGGUAUGUGCCUUGGCAGACCCAUCACUGAUGAGUGAGGGGACAGAAGCUGUAGAACUCAGGCAGGCUUAGGAACUGGAGGUAACGAUCGCAGCUAAAUACAGGCAGUUAAUUUCAUGUUAGCCAAAAACAGAAUGCAAAAGAAAGACUGGAAAGCCAUGUCACAGAAAUCUCCCAGAAAGAGAAAGAAAUAAGAAAUAAGGCCAGAGGCUCAACCCAGCAGCUGUAGGAUCUCACGGAGUUCCAGAACAAAGAAAAUGUGUCAUGUGUGUGGCUGAGGGCAGGAGCUUAACAUUUUCAAUUGCCACAGUCCACCAAAGCACGUAAACCACACGUCUAGAAUAGUAGACAGAGAUUUAAAGAACAAACAAAAACACAUUAGAAGUGAAAAUUGCAUCAGACAUCACCAACACUUUAAUCACAACAGAGCGCUGCCUUCAACUCUGAAUUUGGUGUUCUACCUAGAAUGUUAUAUCCCAAGACAAUUUACCUGUCAGGCAUGUGAAAUUUCAAAAUAACUGACCUCCCACACACUCAUGCCCAGAAGUCAACCGAAGGAAGUGUUCCACUUUAACAAGAAAGUAAUCCAACCACCAAGACAUAGGGUGCAGAUGUGGAAUCCAGCUCAAAGAGAGAAGAAAACAAAUUCCAGGACGAUGAAAUCUCAGGAAACAGCUGCGAACUCAGAUGUGAGAGAAAAAAAGACCCAAGUAUUCUGUUGGGCCCUGACCAUGUAGAAAAUAGAUCAAGAUUAGUUUUACAAAUGUAUGUGGGAUUGCUGGGGAAGAAUUAGUUAUGUAAAAGCAAGACAAGAUGUCCUGUGUGUGGGAGUUCCCACGGUGGCACAGCAGAAACGAAUCUGAUAGUUAGUAUUCGGGAGGAUGUGGGUUCCAUCCCUGGCCUCCCUCAGAGGGUCAAGGAUCCAGUGGUGCCCUGAGCUGUGGUACCGCCACACCUGCAGCCCUAAAAAAUAAAAGCAAAAACAAACAAAAAAUCCUGAUUCAGAAAUGAACAGAAAUAGGCUCACUAUAAUGCAAACAUGGUGA
rnacentral:lncRNA from 1 species